rnacentral:lncRNA from 1 species
CAAAUUUAUUUUUUAGACCAGGUACAGACCCGGAUUUUUUAUGGGUCAAUAUUAAUCGAAAUUUGAAUUCGAAACAUAAAUUCUAUAGAUUCAGUUCAAAAUAUAAAUUGGUAUCCGUCAUUUUAAAACCGUAAUAAAAGUUCUUAUUUGUUGGUGUAUGAUAUUCAGUUGGAUUUAUUUUUUUAUCAGACUAAAUCCAAUCUUCGAAGUAAAUAUUGUAUUUGAACCUCCUUGGUCAACGGCAUGAUCCAAUGACCAUAGAGAUCCGCAACUAAUCCAGGCGCAAUUUUCAAGUUUGGCUCCUCUCUGUUUUCUUCCUCUUCUUCUUCUCUCGCUGUUUCCACAACAUUCACAUCCUGUCCAAACGUUUUCGCUUUGUUCUUCACACGCUCUUUUAUCGACUCCUCCACCGAAUGAUACGUCAACAGAUCCAUCAGCCGAUCUUCGUCCUGUGCUUUGAUCGCAGGUUCGUAUAUACGAGGCGAUGCUUUGAACUUCGCCUCGGCGACAAAUUUUCCGUAAUGAACUCUUUUUGACAAAGAUUGUAAGCAGAUCGUGUCGCAUACGGCAGUCGAACCGCAAUUCCCAUCGUUCCCGACUCGGACUAACUUCGGUAGAAGAUUUUCGAAGUACAUUUCCCAGAUCUUCUUGUUUAUGUUGAUCGAAUCCGCCACUGGAUGCAGAACCUGUUCAAUCGCAAGUUAAAUGAUCUGAGAUUCAUUAUUCUGUUGUUGUUGUUUUUUUUACCUUGGGAUAAUCCAUCCGGGGAGUGAUAGGUUGGGGGAGAUCUGCCGGAAAGAAUGGAUGUUCAUCGGGACUGUUAUAUCUUCCCAUCUGUUUAUAUAUAUAGAAAGAAUUAUAUCAAGCAAUUUCAAUCAUGAUUUGUUAUGAGAUUUCAGAUUUGCGAACCUGAGCGUGAAGGAUUUCGGUUUCCCGGAGCAUGUACUCGAUCAAAGAACCACGGAAUCCGGCGAUCUUAAACACGUCUUCAUUGUAGGUAUCGACGUUGUAAUAGUAGUUGGAUCUUUCUAGAAGUGAGAAUAUUAUGCUGUCUUCUUGUCUGAUCAGGGAAUGACGGAUACCAUCCAGAUUCAGACUCUCCUCGUCGAUCUUCUCCUUCUUGAAUCCGACGGAGCUGUUUGGAUGGGGAGUGACUGCCGAGUUUCGGAGGUCGGAAGCAGGCCGUCCGUCGGAUUUGGCGGUUAAUCUGGGAUGUAGUGGGGUGAUGGUAGUGGAUAAGGUACGAGCUGGUUUGUUGGUUAGAUUACGAUUCGGUAGUGGGGUGUUGUGGGGUGAUUGUAGUGGAAACUGUAACGACGAUGCUGCUGCUGUUGCCAUGGUGAGUUGGUUGGUGGGUUGUUGACGAGAAAAAAUGGAAGAUAAAAGAAGAUAAGGAAAAAGGAGGAAAUGAAGGUUUUGUAAGAAACAUUUGGUGGAAUGGUAGGUGAAAAAUAAAAUUUGGUAGGUGAGAAUAAAUUAAAAUAAAGGCAAAAAGAAUGUGCAGAUAUUUCGGAAAACAACUACCACUGAGCAAAGUGUUUUACAAAUUGGAACGCAUUAAAGUAUAUUCAGGGGGCGGAAACUAAGAUAUAAUUGCAUUAUAGCUUAUUUUUUAAUAUUUCGCCAAAAGUGAUUUUUUUUUGUCUUUUUAAUUCAUAACCAAAUUAAAUAAAAUUUAUCAAUCUAUUAUAGAAAUUAAAUUAAAAAUAAUACAAGCAAAAAGUUAAAAUAUUAAAUGAAAACUAAAUUGAAUCAUGUUUUAAAUUUUAUUUAUUAUAUUUCAAUCAAAAAAUAUAAUAUUGAUAUGCUCUUAUUAGACCUGUAAAUGCAUGGUAUACUAAAAUCCAGCGGCCAAUCCAGAAAUUUUUUCUCCGAGGGUUAAUUUUCAAUCAUUUAUCUAAAUUUUUUUUUUUCAAUCCAAUUGUUCUCGACGAGGUGUUAUAUUUUGGUACCGAUACAAAAUAUCAUCAUUAUUACAUUAGAAAAUAAAUCAUUUUCAAUAUAUGUUACUAAAAUAUCAUUCAUCCAAUCAUCAUCUAUACGAUUGCGACAACUUGAUUCAAAAAUUCACAUUUACUCUUUGCAACAUUGUGAUUACUAGAUUGUAGUCAUUUAUCUUCUUUCGCAAUCCCGGAUCGGAAAGUAAUUUACUUACAUCGAGUGUAUCUCUAAAUGGUUGUGGAUUGGAUGAUGAAGUUGAAAUUGAUUGAUUUAUUUUAGAUCUUUUUAUCACAAAUUUAUCUAUUGAUUAUCUAUGUAAAAAAAAAUUCUAAAUUAAUAAUAAAUUUAACAAUAAAAAUGUGGAUAAAAAAUAUCUUUAUUCUUUUUCUUUGUAUAGAGCUAUGACCACGAAAUCACGUGAAAUGGAGAAAAAAAUUAAAAAUUAAAUGAAUGGUAUGAAUAUGGAGGAGGAGGAGAAGAAAGAGGAAAAAACGAAAUUUCUAAAUCCCUAAAUAUAGAUAGACAGUUAUUGAAAAUUAGGGUAAAUAUAUUAAUUAAUUAAUUAAUUAUUAGUAGGAUAAUGAAUAAACAAACUAUUUUAAAAAUAUUUAGUAAUAUUUUAAAAAUAUUAUUAUUAUAUUAUAUUAUAAAAAUAUAUUAAUAUAUUUUGAAGGUGGAGACUAUAUUUAUAGAAUUUUUUUAUUUUUUUUUUGAGGGGGGCUCAAGUCCACCCAAGCCCCCUACAUUCGCCACUGCUAAAAUCCGUAUUCGAAUUCGAAUAUGACUAUCCAGAUUCGUAUUUUCGGAUUUUAUCUAGAUAUCUAAAUUGAUAUCCGAAUUUUAUCCGGACGGAUUCGAAUAUCCGAAAAAUCUACCGUUAAAAUCCAAAUUGAAAUAAAUUAACUUCCGGAUAUCCGGAUUAUUCGAAUUAUUUGGAUUUUAAAGUGAUUAAUUGACUAUUAAUUAACUUUAUUAAUGGUAAUUUUAUAUUUUUAUACAAAUUUAUCCGGAUAUCUGAAAAUUUAUCUAGAUUCGGAUUUUUCUAUUCGAAUUUUAUUCGAUCGGAUUAGGAUUAUCCGGAUAUUAUCCGGAUUCAGAUUCAAAUAUUUUGGUAUCUGAGCUGAAUCUAACCGAUAUACAGGCUUAGCUCUUAUUAAGAGGUUAUGAGUUAUGAUUAAGGGUUUGGGUCUAAUCCGAACCCACUACCUCGAUGUUCGGGACAAGGAUUAUGCCCUUUUCGGAUCCUACAUUCCCAGUCAUCAAUUCCAUUAAGAGGAAUGAGUCCGGAUUUUACUCAAAAAAACUCGCCCUGUGUAGGUUCGAGACGGGUCCAUUUUUUACCUUUACCCAGAACCACUCCGUCCACGCUACGAUCAUAUAAUUAAUCAAAGAUUAAUAAUAUCAGAUUAUUAGGUUAAUCUGCUAGUGACCUGACCUAUCACAACGGGUUCUGCCUGGGCUCGGGUCAAAUAUUUGUUUAUGCCGACACAACCCGGGCCCGACCUGGCCUCCACAAUCGGGACGGGUCUCGGGUCAAGAUCGUCCCGGCCGCAACUCGUCCCGUUCUCACCCCUAUUAUUGGACUAUAACAAUAUAUGUAAAGUAUAUCGGAUAUAUAUAAAGUAGGCUUGUGUAUCGGAUGGAUUUGACGCGAAUACCAAAUAUCUGGAUAAUUCGAAUCCGUCUGAAUAAUAUUCGGAAAGAAAAAUUCAAAUCUGAAUUCGGUAAAUUUUCGGAUAUCCAGAAUAUUCGAAUUCUGAUAAUUUUUUAUAGGAAAAAUCCUAGUAAAUAAAAAAUAAAACAGUGGGGUCAUAGUUCGAGGGUCAUCUUCAUAUGGGGACGAUGAAAAAGUUCUACUACGGAGUUCGAGGGUCAUCUUUAUAUGGGAACUACUAUGGAGUUCUUCAAGAAAUGGUAGAACUUGAUUUCCUUGUAGAUGAUACUCGAAUUUCUAUGUUCAAUUGUGUUUGGUACAAUAUUCACAUAGGAAUCAAAGUUGAUCGAUUCAAAUUAAACGACGACAAUAGACACACAUUCUAAGCUCAAAGUAUAUGAACCCUUCAUUUUUGCAUGACAGACAGAGCAAGUAUGCUACAUAUCGAGUGUUUCUGAAAAACGUAACGAUUGAUACACCGUGCUUAAAACAAAAGUUCGAAAUACAAUCAAUAUUUCAGAAAAAUAUUUAAAUACACAUCAAGACGAUUUUAGUGAAUUUGAUGUAAACGUCGUUAAUGACAAACUAAUUGAUGAUGUACCUCUUAGUAGCAAUGAACUUAUAAAAAAAUCAAAUGUUGAAACUAAGGUGUCAAAUAAAACUCGGCUCGAUGGGUUCGGCUCGGGCUCGCAAAAUAUAUUAUAUUUGGAGAGACUGAUGAUAUAGCUUAGAUGGUGAUGAGGGUGAAACCCGAUCAGUACUCUAAGACGCUCCAGCAAGCGCCAAGCAGGGAACUCCGUGAGAAAUCGGACCGGAACUCAAGUGCGCAGAGCUCUGCUUCGUUAGGACUUCUCCACUCCAAAUGACCUGCUUUCAAUGAGUGGGGGGUGCCUCCUAUUUAUAGGGAUUCUUAUGGGGGUAAUCUGGUCAUUUGGACAGUAACCGCCUAACUGCCUAACUGAUCAGAUUGGGGCCCAAGGUCGACUUUCCAAAGAUCGACUUUCUUGGAAUCCGACUUUCCUGGGGAUCGACUUUAUUCAGAAGUCGAUCCUUGGAAAAGUCGAUCUUCCUAGGAUUCGACUUGGGACCUCCCCAAUACUAAAAUAAGUACCUCAACUACUCAUCUUAGGCUAUCCGGACUUUUAGUUGCUGGUAAGUUGUGACCGGGUUCGGGAUACUGUAUCACCAGUACUCCUCUCCUCCUCUGCGUAUUAGAUAUCCUGGGAUACAUCUUUUAAUUAGUACUAUGGUCUGUGUGUUGGACCAUGUACUAUCAGAUGGUAAAGUACUUAUUUAGCAUGAGAGAAGUUGUGGGAUCGAUACCCUAUUUUUUCAAAUAUUUAUUUUAACCUGUAAUUUCUGUUUAAGUUCGAUCGAGCUCGAGCCCGACUUUGCGAGCUUGAGCCUGGGCUCGCGAGCUUCGAGCCCGAGUCUUGGCAAAUAAUUAACGAGCCGAGCUCAGCCAAACCAGGCUCGACGAGCUCGAGUCUGAGCCUGGAUAAUUCCUUAAUGAGCCGAGCCCGAGUCGUAAGUAGCGAUAAUGAUGAUGACAAUGAUAAUAAUAAUAGUGAUGAUAUCAGUCAUGAUAAUGACAGUAAUGGUAAUAAUGACUAUUGAUAAUGAAAUGAGUUUUUAAUUUACUUCUAAGUCAUAUUUAUUGUAAUUUAAUUAUUUUGAUAUUCUCGUGCAGUCGUGCUUAAAUAAUUUCCGAAGGGAAUUUCGACAUCAUUCCAUUUCCUUGAUUAUAUUUGUUUUCAUUAUUUUCAUAAAUUUGAAUUUUUGCAGAACAUUUCCAAAUGAGAUCAGAAAACAGAUAAGAUGUUUCGUAAAGAGAAACAUUCCAGAUGACAAAGUCACAUGGUCUCAAACUUUCAAUGAAUUGAUGACAAUCAAACAGGAAUAAAGAAAGGGAUGAAGCCAAGAAGUUAAUGAAGUUUGUGUUGAGCAACUUGACGAGAGUUGUAAAAAAUUUCCUCCAAGAUACAUUACCAAAAACCAAUGGAAGUUUAUGAUGACAAAGUUUUUGGUCAAAGAAUUUCAAGAAAAAUCAAAGAAAAUGCUGACAACCAUAUCAACUGUCGGGCCGAACAAACCAUGGGCCGUCCUCGUCCGAACAACGGGUCUGGGCCGGCGAAAGUUCAGGAGGCCCAUGGACGAAUCCUAUAAAUACCUCCCUUGGUCCAACAGGGGAGGUGGUUGACAAUUAGCGAGAGAGGUCUAGAGAGUUGUGUGUGUGAAAGCUUCCGACUGAUGAAGACUACCUUGUAAACAAGAGAGCAUAGACGUCUUUUGAAGCCAACUCUAUCGAUAUGGGAGUAAUGAGACAAAAAAGUAUAGUUAAAUAAAUUAUAAAAUAUUUUUUAUACUUUUUGAAUUCUAUCAAUGUGGCUAAAUAAAGUGUACAUAUAUUAAAUAAAUUAUUGUAAUAAAGUAUUCUUUAUACUUUUUGAAUCCUAAUAAUUUGAGACUAAAUAAAAUGUAACAGAUCAAAACUUGUUCAACUAUUGAAGGAAGAUUUAGCGAUUGAAGACUUCGGUUUCCGCUCAUCGGAGGAAAACUCGAUCGCCGUCAACUAGGCCGAGCCCAUUGAUUUUUCAAAGGGCCGAAAAUAGUUUAGGCCCAACCAAAGUAAAGAAUUUGUUAACUAUUGUGGUUAGAAUAAUUUGUUAAUCGAACUACUUAAUCAUGUACUAAAUUCUAUAAAUAAGAGGAUGAUCUAUGUUAAGAUCAUUAAAGUAUUUUUCGACCAAUUCCUUAGUACCUCAGGUUCCUCCGGAAGAGUUCUCUUCUUAACCUUCGGCUCCAAUCUUGGAGAAUCUUUUCUCACCUCAGCCCUGAUCUUAGGGAUUUCUUAUUUCAAUAACAUCUUAACAACCUCCGACGAAAGACGGUUGUUACAUUGGCAUUUUCAAUGGAUUUGGACUUAGUUAUUGAAGUUAUUGUGCGUGUGGAUGAAAUCAAGCAAUCAGUAUUAUCGUUGCGAGAAUUGUGGAAAGAAGAAUUAGAUGAGAUUGUGAUAAGCAAUCAAAAGAUAAUGAACAUUUUUGAGAAGUUUGCGAGAAGAGCAAAGAAGAAAAAUCAUGGUGAUGGGAGUUCAACAACGUCGACAAAGGAUUUCGAUCACACGUAAGAAAUCGCCAUGAUCUGCAACAGCAUCGACAAUAAUGUUGUUCCUACUCGUCUUACGCCGGUUACCACCAUAUAUUCUGUCAAGUCAUGGGGAAAUACUCUUUUAAAACUUGUAGAUCCUAAGGUCUCCUAUCUUAUCGAGUACGAGAAGCAUCAUCAAAGCCAUGGAAUAGAGUUGAUCACUUCUGAUACUUUCAACUUAUUCGACAAUCUAAGAAGAGGUUUCAUCGGGAUUGACUCUUCUACGUUCAUCGCCUACCUCUUUAGUUCAGUUGUCUCUUUUUCUUGGGACGUUUUCAUCUAUGAUCUUCAGAAAAAUAUGCAUGGUCUACUCUUCAGCCUUUUUGAUGGGGAAGGAAGAAUUUUAGUGGUUCAUAUUUUUCUUUGGGAUCCAGGCAUCAAAAAGUGAAGAAACUGUGGAAGAAAGAUUUAUUACUGGUAUUCAAUAGAAUGUGUAAGAAGCAUUGAAUCUUGGAAUGCAUGAUUUCAUAAGGAUUAUUCAAAUCCUAACUGUGUAGACAAGAGGUUAGUACGAAAGGAGGAGGAGAAACACAACAUUGCCAAUAAAAGAAAAGGCAUGGGAGGAUAUGACUGUGCUUGAAUCUUGAGGACAAGAUUCGUUUGAAAGAAGGUGGGGAUGUAACAGGUCAAAACUUGUUCAACUAUUGAAGGAAGAUUUAGCGAUUGAAGACUUCGGUUUCCGUUCAUCGGAGGAAAACUCGAUCGCCGUCAACUAGGCCGAGCCCAUUGAUUCUUCAGAGGGCCGAAAAUAGUUUAGGCUCAACCAAAGUAAAGAAUUUGUUAACUAAUGUGGUUAUAAUAAUUUGUUAAUUGAACUACUUAAUCAUGUAUUAAAUUCUAUAAAUAAGAGGAUGAUCUAUGUUAAUAUCAUCAAAGUAUUUUUCGACCAAUUCCUUAGUAUCUCAGGUUCCUCCGGAAGAGUUCUCUUCUUAACCUUCGGCUCCAAUCUUGGAGAAUCUUUUCUCACCUCGGCCCUGAUCUUAGGGAUUUCUUAUUUCAAUAACGUUUUGACAACCUCCGAAAAAAGAUGGUUAUACAAAGACAAAAAAGUGUAGUUAAAUAAAUUAUAAAAUAUUUUUUAUACUUUUUGAAUUCUAUCAAUAUGGCUAAAUAAAGUGUACAUGUAUUAAAUAAAUUAUUGUAAUAAAGUAUUCUUUGUACUUUUUGAAUUCAAAUAAUUUGAGACUAAAUAAAAUGUAUAUAUGUUCAAUAAAUUAUAGUGUUCUUUAUACUUUUUAUAUCCUAUCAAUAUAAGAUUAAAUAAAAUUUACAUGCAUUAAAUAAAUUAUAGUGUUAGAAUGAAUUAUAAGGUGUUUUUAAUGUAUUAUAAUAAUUUUUCCAUCCAAUAUAUUUUUAACUAAAAAAUUAAAUUGAUUAUUUUAUUAACAUGCCUAUAUUUUAGGAUUGAUAUUUAAAAAAUGGGCAUAUAAAUUUCCCUUAUUUUUAUAUAUUUACGAAAAUACCACUGAUGUUAAUGUGUGUUUUUAAGCGCAAAAGCUCAAAUGCUUCGGCUGGUGACGCAUCCUAAACCUUGAUAUCUACUUAAAAGCUAGUUAAGAGCUAAAUGCAAGCUCCUCAAGAGCUAGACAGUAGCUAUUUAGGAGAAAACUAUGAGCAACUUUGUUUGAGGUUUGUAGGUAUGAUAGAGAUCUCCGAGUGAGACGUGAAUAUGAGGGGAACCGAACAUCUGCGACGUCGGUCGACGGGACUGAGCAAGAAGAUAGAAACUAUCCCAAAGGAUCCGGAGGAAGAAGAUGACUUGGUUGUUAAACUUUUCGAUCCCCUGUCCUCUUCAUUUCAUUCAAUUUAAAGCAUUCACAAAACGAAUUCUAACUACCACGAUUUUAUCCCACUAACUGUAACUACCAUUAACUUAUUUAAUUCCAUGUCACUUGUAAAGGAAAUCCUUUUUACGAGUGGACCUUCGAAUCCUUGUCGGUCGAACUGACUUCAACUCUGCGGACUCCUCCUACUCCGAUGGUGUUAUCUUGAGAUCCAAUUCUCGCUCUAGUACCUGCUCUGUCAUUGAUUGAUCCAAUUCCCGCCAUAUUUUUCUUGAAAUAUUCAGAUUUUAAUUUUUUUUCUUUUUAAUUUGCAAUUCGGCAAAUUAAAUUUCAAGUUCGAGAACGACCUUGAGUCCGAACAAUUUCUUAACGAUCCAAGUUCGAAUUUGUCUUUAUAAGAAAAAGUUCGGCUCGUUUAACACCCUAAUUGAACAUGUCUUCAGAUGAAAGACAAAGACGACAUGAGAUCAAUUACGCCGAGGUUACUACAUAUUACACGAAAGACUGGUCAUAAACUUUUAUAAGGUACUAUUAAUUCUCUUCACAUUUUUUAAUUGCAUUCUUAUUCAUCAAUGAACUAAAUAUAAUGUUAUUAAUGAUAUAAUCAAUUUAAUUAUUAUUAGAAGAAGGGUGAUUGAAAUGCAAAUGCUUAAAGGUUGUUGAAGUGCAAAUGCUAUUGUUAUGGCUAGUGUUGGUACCAUGGAUCGCCCAACAGUCCAUGGUACCAAACCAGCCGCCCACAGACCUAAGGGCACAGAUGGGCCAAACAGGAGAAGGCCCAUGAAGUCCGGAAGCCUCUUGGGCAAGCACCAGCGGCGAAUCCAGGAAUUUUUUAUCCGGGGGGCUAAUUUUAAAUCAUUUAAUCAAAUUCAAAAAAAAAAAUUCAAUCCAAUUGUUCUCGACGAGAUGUCAUAUUUUGGUACCGAUACAUAAUAUCAUCAUUACUAACACUAGAAAAUAAAUCUUUUUCAACAUAUGUUACUAAAAUAUCAUUCAACCAAACAUCAUCCAUACGAUUGCGACAACUUGAUUUCACAAGAUUCAUUGUUGAAAAAAAUCUUUCCACCGAGGAGUCAUGGUCAUUGCUGAAAUUUAUUGCCACAAAUUCAUUGCUGAAAAUUUAAUAACGGUCAAUAAUAGUAAAUAUGGUAACAACAUGUAGUUAUGGUAAUACCUUUUAUGGUGGUGGGUUGUUAUCUACAUUAAUAUAUAAAGAUAACAACCCCCGUUGAGAAACACAAUCAAAUCAUUUUGGUAAUAUCUAAUAUGGUAUCAAGAGCUUGAAGAUCAUCCAAGAUCUACACUCGUUCCUGUGGCCUUGUGCUUCUGCUCAAGGAUUUUUUGUUUUGUUUUCUCUGCUCACGGCGUUCUCGCCUCAUCUUCCUGUCCCGGCGCCCUCCACUUCUUGCGGUUUCCAAUGGAACAACAGGUUGCUGCGGUACAGAUGACAAAGAUUGUCAAAAUUAAGCACCCAUGUACGGUGAAACUUGAUGAUGAUAAUUUCUUUACCUGGGAAGCUCAGCUCAAGACAAUGCUCCGGGGACAUCGCCUUCUCAAAUACAUUGAGGAGCAGGUUGAUCCGGACGAUGACUUGGCUACACAGCAAGACCAGUUGCUACUAGGAUGGAUUUUUUCGUCCCUCUCGCCUACCGCCCUAGCCCAGGCGGCGAGCUAUACGACAUCCUUCGAUAUCUGGACGGCUCUGAAGGAGAUCUACGCCUCUGCUUCGCAAUCUCGGGUUAUGCAGCUGCGGCGUCAAUUUCAGACCGUGAAGAAGGGUAAUAUGACCAUCUCUGAUUAUUUGGCCCAUGUCACCAAAAUCGCAGAUGCGCUCCGAUCCACGGGAGAAAGGGUUCUCGACUCUGAGUUCAUUCUUAACGUGCUGGGAGGACUUGAAUCCGAUUAUGAGGCGUUAGUGACGGUGGUUACUUCACAGCUGACCGUCAUGACUAUUCCGGCAUUCAGAAGUCUCCUGUUAAGUCAAGAAAUAAGAAAUAAUCAAGUCUUGGCAAACUCCAUACCAGCAUAUGCGUCUGCUACCUAUGUGAAGAAAGAAGAAAGGGUAACCUGUCAAAUCUGCCACAAAAAGGGGCACAUUGCUCUUGCUUGUCACAAUAGACACAACGAGCAAUUAUAUCCAACUCCUCCUGCAAGCAAAGCAAGACAGGCUGCUUACUCUAAGAGGGCCGCUACUCAAUCAAGUGCUCAAGCCCUCUGGUUCCCAGAUUCGGGAGCUACUGAUCAUGUGACUGCCGAUAUGGACAAUCUACAAAUCAAGAAAGGUUGUGGUAGCAACCAAGGUAUUAUAACUGCUAAUGGUUCUGUUAUGCCAAUUUCUAAUAUUGGUGAUUCGAAAUUUUCUUGCGGUAUCAAAUUGAAUAAUAUAAUGCAUACCCCAACAGUUCGGAAGAAUCUUAUUUCCAUCAAUAAGUUGUGUAGAGAUAACAACUUAUCUGUGAUUUUUGAUGCUAAUUCUGUAUGUAUAAAGGAUCCUCGGUCUGAUGCUAUGCUUGUGAAAGGGAAAGCUGUGGAUGGGUUGUAUCAAGUAGAGUUGAAGGAUUCUAGAAGAGCAGCGGCGGUGUUUCUGGGCGAGAAGGUUUCGAUCUCUCUAUGGCAUCGUCGAUUUGGACACAUUAAUGAGCAUACUGCAAUAAAUUUGAUUAAAGAUUAUGCACUUCCUGUUUGUAAUAAAAACAUGGAUCCUUGUAGUGAUUGUUUAAAAGGUAAAAUGCAUAGAUUAACUGCUCCUUCUAGAGAUAAAAAUUCAGCUACGAAUAUACUUCAAUUGAUCUACACUGAUAUAUGGGGGCCAGCCCCGGUUUCCUCCAUGAAUGGACAUAGGUUCUAUAUCAAUUUUGUGGAUUCCUAUUCGAAGUUUAAUUGGCUAUUUCCCAUUGUCAAAAAAUCGGAUGCUCUUUCUGUUUUUAUUAAAUUCAGGCUAUUGGUAGAAAAGACAUUCGGAGAAUCUAUCAAAGCUAUACAAUCCGACAACGGCGGGGAAUUUGUGGCAUUUGAUCCUUAUCUCGCAGAGCACAGUAUUGAGCACAGAAGGUCGUGUCCCUAUGCACAUCAUCAGAUGGGAAUGGUCGAAAGGAGACAUCGGCACAUCGUUGACAUCGGCCUAGCCUUGAUGUCUCACUCCAAGCUUCCGCACUCAUUUUGGGGAUAUGCAUUCUCGACGGCGGCAUUUUUGUACAAUCGAAUGCCAACGAAAUCCCUAAAUAACCAAAGUCCAUAUGAAGUUCUAUUUAGGGAAAAACCGAAUUUAAUUGAUCUUAAGGUAUUCGGAUGUACGGUUUAUCCGAAUCUCCGACCAAUGAGGAAUCACAAAUUCUCCACUCGAACAGAUCCACACAUUUUUAUCGGCUAUCCGCGAGAAUAUAGGGGAUAUUUAUGCUACAAUCCUGAGACAAAGAAAGUAAUUGUAUCCAGGGAUGUAGUUUUUCACGAAAUGGACUUUUCUCUACACAAUUAUUUUUUGAAGGACUCUUCAGAUAUUAGCCCACAAGAUUCCUAUAGCAAUUUGCAAAUUGUGCAUCCAGUCAACAUCAGCGGGAAUAGAGAUCUGACUUCUGAUUGUUCAGAGGAAUCAACUCCUUCUUUAAUUGAUUCGGUUGAUCAAAUCACGGAUGAAGAGCAGAUUCCAGACUCGACAGCCGACGUACCUAUCCGGACACAUACUAUGGUUACACGAGCACAGAAAGGGGUUCAUAAACCAAACCCAAAAUACGUGCUUCACCUAGAUGCUACCAUCUCCGUUCCGUCAGGAGCCGCAAAUGCCCUUGCUGACCCAGACUGGAAAUCGGCAAUGACAUCGGAAUUCCAAGCCUUAAAAGAGAACGGUACUUGGGAGCUAGUUCAGAGGUCUCCGGAGCAAAAUGUCCUUAGCUGCAAAUGGGUCUUCCGCAAUAAACUUCAUCCAGAUGGUUCGUUAGAGAGAAGGAAAGCUAGGCUUGUCGCAAACGGUUUACGACAGAGGGAUGGCCUUGAUUACAAUCUCACCUUCGCUCCGGUCAUAAAACCGGUCACAGUCCGAUUGAUUCUUGCUCUUGCGGUUGAAAACAAUUGGGAGACAAAUCAACUUGAUAUCUCUAACGCUUUUCUUCAUGGUUUCUUGGAAGAGACAGUAUUCAUGCGGCAGCCCCCCGGGUUUGUAGAUCCAGAAAAACCAAACCACGUAUGCCGUCUCAUCCGCUCGAUCUAUGGUUUAAAACAAUCACCAAGGGCAUGGUUCCAUCGGCUCAGAGAUUUUGUGAUUUCGAUCGGAUUCAAGGAAAGUCUUAUGGACCCAUCAUUGUUCUUCUAUAAGAGAGAUAAUGAAAUCAUGUACUUCUUAGUGUACGUAGAUGACAUCAUACUUACGGGUUCGUCCUCUACCUUCAUUACAUACAUUACAACAUUGUUGUCAUCUGAAUUUGCAGUCAAAAACCUCGGGAGGUUGAGUCACUUUCUGGGGAUUCAUGUCAACAAAACACCGAAUGGUUCAUUGCACCUCUCCCAAUACCAGUAUGCUCGAAAUAUUUUAGAGAAAUCUAAGCUUACAAAUCUGAAGCCGACCCCCACUCCAAUGGAACCCGGAAAUGAUCUAUAUGCAGAAGCUAACCUAUAUGAUGAACCAACUCAAUAUCGUCAAAUUAUUGGGGCCUUGCAGUACCUAACUACUACAAGGCCGGAUAUUGCAUUUUCCGUCAACAAAUUAUCCCAGUUCAUGCAAUCACCAUCGGUUAAUCAUUGGAAAGCAUUGAAGAGGAUUCUCAGAUAUAUCUCUUCCACAUUAUUUUCAGGCAUCUUGCUUCAAAAAUCAAAAUCGAAGAUCUUAGCGGCCUAUUCCGAUGCUGAUUGGGGGGGAGAUGUCUCAGAUAGAAAAAGUCAGGGAGCUUAUGUCUGCUAUUGGGGCUCUAACUUAAUCUCAUGGAGCUCCCGGAAGCAACCAACAGUGUCACGAUCAACGACAGAGGCGGAAUAUCGGAGUGUCGCCGACACAACUUCUGAACUGGAAUGGAUAAAAAUGUUAAUGAAUGAAUUAGAUAUUGCGGUUUCAUUACCAAUGCAGGUUUGGUGCGACAAUAUGAGUGCUAUCGCCUUGACAAGCAAUCCCACUCAUCACAUCAAAGCCAAACACGUCGGAAUGAAUUAUCACUUUGUGAGAGAAAAAGUGGCUGCGAAAACACUGGAGGUAAAAUUCAUUUGUUCUAAGGACCAGCAAGCCGAUCUUCUUACAAAAGCUUUGCCAAGGGCACCAUUCUCUCAUCUAUGCUCCAAGCUCAUCGUUGAAAUGCCGUUAAGCUUGCGGGGGAGUAACGGUCAAUAAUAGUAAAUAUGGUAACAACAUGUAGUUAUGGUAAUAACUGUAAUAUGGUAAUACCUUUUAUGGUGGUGGGUUGUUAUCUACAUUAAUAUAUAAAGAUAACAACCCCCGUUGAGAAACACAAUCAAUCAAAUCAAAUCAUUUUGGUAAUAUCUAAUAUACACAACCAAUUUUUUCUUCUUCUCAGCUAAGGAUGAAGAAGAUGAGAGACCGGAGUGGAGCGUGUGAUCGGAGUCACCGUUAGGGUUUGAGUGAAAGAGUCGACGGGAAAAUGAAGAGUCUCUUUGAGAGAAAACCCUAGAGGGUUUAGUUUGUAUUUUGAAAAGUUAAGGAAUAAAAUAUUACAACUCAACUAUUUAUAUUAAACUCUAACUACCUAUUGGGCCAACAUCCGAGUUGGGCCUUGCUUAUCUAAUCUGGAUUAUCUUGACAAUAAAAUUAGAACUAUCUUAAUAUCUUAAUAGAUAAUAAGAUUUAAAUUAUCUUAAUAUCUCAAUACCCCCCUCAAGCUGGAGAGUGUAUGUCAUAUAGUCCCAGCUUGGGUAGUAGAUUGUGUAGUGCUUCAAGGCUUGCUGGUUUCGUUAAGAUGUCUGUAAUUUGUGAUGUUGUUGAGACAUGUUGUAGUUUAAAUAAUCCAGCUUGAAGAUGAUCACGAAUUAGAUGGCAGUCAAUCUCUAUAUGCUUUGUACGCUCAUGAAAAACUGGAUUUGUUGCAAUGUGAAUUGCAGCCAUAUUGUCACAAUGUAACAUUGUUUGUUCUGAUGGUUUUACCUGCAGAUCAUUCAGAAAAUAAUGCAACCACAUAAUCUCACAUACAGUUGAUGCCAUAGCCCUGUAUUCACUUUCAGCAAAUGAUCUACUAAUGGUUUUUUUUUGAUUUCCAUGCUAUGGCUGAACCACCUAAUAGAAUUGUGUAUCCUGUUAUAGACCUUCUGGUGUUGGGGCAAUUUGCCCAAUCUGCAUCACAGUAAGCCUCUAGUUGUAGAGGUGCAUCUCUCUUAUAUAGAAUGCCUUUACCUGGUGCUCCUUUGAUAUAUUUUAGUAUUUUUAUAGCAGAAUUAAAAUGUGAUUGUUUUGGUUCUGCCAGGAAUUGGCUGUGGUGGUUGACAGCAAAUGAAAUAUCAGGUCUUGUAAUUGUUAAAUAUAGUAGUUUUCCAAUCAAUUUUCUAUAAAUUGAUGGGUCCUUUAGUGGAGCAUCAUUUUCAGAGUUCUUGUAGUUAUGGGACAUUGGAAUUUUGGAUGGUGAGGAACCCAAUUGGCCAAAAUCAUGUAAGAUAUCAAGAGCAUACUUCCUUUGUGAUAGGAAGAUGCCCAUGUUGGAUUGGGAUACUUCAAUUCCUAAGAAGUAUUUGAGCUUACCCAAAUCUUUUAUAUGGAAUUGAAGAUGUAGAUAUUCUUUCAGUUUUUGUAUCUCAGACUUAUCAUCUCCUGAUAUGAUCAAAUCAUCCACAUAUAUAAGUAGGCAAGUAUAUGAUUUUGCAUUUGAUUUAAAAAAUAAUGUAUAAUUAGAGUGAGAUUGAGUAUAUCCAAAUUCAGUUAGAGCUGAGGUAAGUUUUUCAUACCAAUUUCUAUUGACUUGUUUUAGGCCAUAUAAUGACUUCUUCAAUUUGCACACCCUGGUGUCAUCUGAUGAUAGCAUCCCUGGAGGGGGAGACAUAUAGAUUUCUUCAGAUAAUUCACCAUGUAAGAAAGCAUUACUCACAUCCAUUUGGUAUGUUGACCAGUUCUUGAUUGAGGCUACUGCUAGCAGUGUCUUGACAGAGAUAAUUUUUGCCACAGGUGAGAAUGUUUCUUUGUAAUCAAAUCCUUCUAUUUGAGUAUGUCCCCUUGCUACAAGUCUGGCUUUCAGCCUUUCAAUUUGACCAUUAGAUUUGUGUUUUACUUUGUAUACCCAUCUGGAUCCAACAAUUUUCCUUUCUUUUGGUCUUGGUACUAUUUCUCAAGUAUCAUUGAGUUCUAGAGAUGCAAGUUCAUCAUUCAUAGCUUUCACCCAUUCAGGGCUUUGACUUGCUUGUUUGAAGGAUGAUGGUUCAGUUGUAAUGGAGAUUUUAUCUAAGUAGUCAAUGUGAGAGGUAGAUAGCCUUUUAUAUGUUAGAUAAUCAUGCAUAGGGUAUGAUGUGCCUUUAGAUUUGCCUGUGCUUGUAGCAAAUGAGCAAAAAUAGUCAUUCAAUUUUGUUGGUGGUCUUCUCUGUCUACUUGGGUACCUUGAGUUUGGUAUUUGAUUUGUUUCUGAGUUUGGAAGUGUCAUUGGUAAAUCAUUUGUUUGUAUCAUCUCUGGAUGUUCCAGAUUUGAGAUUGUUGAAUCUGUGUCUGAAUUAUCAGAGAUUAAAUCAAUUUGGUUUGUCUCAGAGAGAUCAAUGUCAAGUAUUGGAUUUUUACUUUGAUUUUUGGUUAUUGUUUGAUUGUUUGUCCUAUUCUCAUCCUUAUUUAGAGGGAAUACAUUCUCAUAAAAAAUCACAUCUCUACUUGUGGAGAUGUGGUGGGUAUCUAGCUCAUAUAUAAUGGAACCCUUUUGGGUUGGAGAUUGACCUAGAUAUAUGCAUUUCUUUGCUCUAGGGGAAAACUUGUCUUCUUUUACAAGGCAAGUUGAGUAGCACAGGCAACCAAAGGUCCUUAGACCUUCAUAAUCAGGUUGCAUGGAAUGCAUAAGUUCAUAUGGGGAUAGACCUUGUGUCACCCUAGAUGGUAGCAUAUUGAUAAUGUGGGUGGCUUGGAUUAUUGAGUAUCCCCAUAACUCAAUUGGUAAUGAGGAUUGUAAUUUUAGUGACCUAGCUACAUUUAAGAGGUGUUGGUGUUUCCUCUCAACCACACCAUUUUGUUGUGGUGUGUGUGGGCAGCUAGAGUAGUGGAUGAUUCCAUUAUUUUUUAGGAACUCAUCCAUUGCUGAAGAGAAAAACUCUCCACCAUUAUCAGUCCUUAUAGCUUUGAUAGAUACAUCAAAGUGAUUUUUGAUAAGGGCAUGUAAAUUUUUAAAAAUAAUAAAGCAUUCAGAUUUCAUAGUAAUUAAGUAAGUCAAAGUAUACCUAGUAUAGUCAUCUACCACAGUCAAAAAAUAUUUCUUCCCAUGGAUUGUUGGAGUGUGAAAGUUCCCCCACACAUCCAUGUGAAGUAAGUCAAAUGCAUGUUUAGUUCUAGAUGUAUGUAAUGGAAAUGACUUCCUAGGUUGUUUGGAAAAAUGACAAAUAUCACAGUGUUCAUCAAAAGUAAAGUUUUUAAAGUUUAAAAAAUUGUUCAGAAUGUUUUUGAGUCUGUCACUUGAAGUGUGAUCCAAUCUCCUGUGCCAUGUUGAUGUUGUGAUGGCACCUGCAAAAUAGUUUCUACCACUGGUUUGUGAUAGAAGGUAUAAUCCUUUUUUCAUCCUACUCUGACCAACUUCCUUCAUCUGACCCUUGUCAUAUAUGAGUGCACAUGAUUUAGAAAAUUGAACUGUAUAGGUAUCAUGUUGUGUCAAUUUACUAAUAGAUAACAAAUUAACUUGAAAGGAUGGAAUGUAAUAUACAUCCUUUAAUGUAAUAUCAGGUGAAAUUGGGAUGUCACCCUUUUGGGACACUGUUUGACUGUUCCCAUUUGGUAGUGAGAUCUUGAAGGGAUCACACUCUGUAAGUUUUAGAAAUAGGGAUUCAUUUCCACUCAGGUGUUCUGAUGCACCUGAGUCAAUGAUCCAAUAUAUAUCUAUGUAAUUUGAAAAAACAUUAUUAGCAUUACCUGAAUCUUUUCGCUUGGGCAGUGGCCUUGGAUUGUACUUUUCAGAAUAUAAUGGAAAACCAUAGGGCUCAAUUGGAUUAUCAGGAGAUUCAACUUUCUUCUCAUCACUGUCCCAGGCUGACCAGGUCUGUUCAGAGUUUACACAGUUGGCUGAGCCUUGUGCUUUGUUGAUCACAGUUGGUGUUGGGGUGGAAGGUUUGGAUCUUGCAAUAGAGGAGGUGUUCCUGGAGAGAUACCCAUGUUGAUUAAAGCAUUUUUCAUCACUGUGCCCAAAGACAGCACAGUGAAAACAGUAAUAUCUUGUGUUCACUUGUUUUCCACUCCUGUAGUAGAUAGGUUCAGUGAGAGUAGGAGGUCUUUUCCUUUGAGUCGAUGAAGAUGGGGUGUUUGUGGGUUUGGCUGAUUGAUAGGGUGCUUUCCCUUUGGCUGAGUAAAAAGCAGAGCCUUGAUUGGUGCUUGUAUUGUUAGAUAAUUGCUGCUGAGCUUCUUCAUGGAUUACCAUCAAAAAUACUUUCCCAAAGUUAGGCAGUUUAUCCAUAGACAGAAUGAUUGACCUUAUCUGUCUAAAGUUGUCAUUUAAGCCCAUCAAGAAUUUCCCAACUUUGAGCCUCUCCUCCCUCUCAUUUAUUCUCCCAUUCACAUUGCAAGUGCAAGUGAUGCAGCUGCACCUGGGCACUUCACCAUAAGCAUCUACCUCUCUCCAAAGAGUUUUGAGGGUAGCACUGAAUUUGGAAACAGAAUUAGAAUCCUGUUGAAGCAUAGUAAUGUCCUGAGUCAGCUAAAAUAGAUGAGUCUCAUUUGACUGCCUGUACUGAUCUCUAAGAUCAGCCCAUAUGAUGGAAGCAUCAUCUGUAUACAUGAUUUGGGAGGCUAUUUCUUGAGAGACAGAGCUCCAUAUCCAUUGACGAAUAAUCCCAUGACAGGUUAUCCAUGCCUCAUGCUCUUCUGACUCACAAUUGAGUGGUUCCUUAAUAGUCCCAUUGACAAACCCUAGCUUCCUUCUAGUAAUCUGCAUUGUAGUCAUCUCCCUAUUCCAGGGAUAGUAGUUCUGACUACCCUGUAAGACAUUGAUUAUAGAUGGAGGACUAUAAUCUGUGGAUUUGAAGAAGUAGAUGGAAGUAGGAUCAAAUAGUGGACCACCAAGUGGUUUCUUCUGUAUAGCAGGAACAUUCUGAACAGCCUGGGUAUUUUCAGCCUCUGACAUGUGGAAUGUUCUGUAGCAUUUUCCAUGGUAAUAAAAUUACAUUAGUUUAAUUUUGACUAAUCUUGAAUGAAUCAAAGAUAGUAAACUUGGAUUUAAAUCAAGUGAAUUGAUUUUGUCAGUGGUAUUUAUCCCACUUUUAGUUUUACUGUAGAGAUAGGAUAACAGCGGAAGCAAUGUAAGAUUGAUUAUCAAUUUGACUAUAGAAAUGCAAUUAACAGAGUAGAUUAUGUUUGACACUAAAUAUAAUAUUAGAUGCAUCUUAUCUGACAUAGCAGGUGAAUGUGCAUGUAAUGAAUACCAAAUAAAUGUAUAAGAUGUAUAGAUCAUGUCUGCAUGAAUCAAUUUAUUUAAUAAUACUUGACAGAGAGGGCAGACACAUAUCAUUGAGUAUUCAACAUAGACAAUCAACAUAACAUUGUGAUUAACAUGUAUUGAUUUAUAUUUAUACAAGGUUAGCAUAUCAUCGAAUCUAUUACAGUAUAUGCGAGAUAGUAGUUUUUCACAUAUAGCACCAAACAUAACAUGAAACAUGAAUAUAACAUAGAUUUUCAUCUUUAUGUAUGAUCUUAUAUCGGUUAGUGACAUAUGAGAGAGCAUAUGGAGACAUGCAGCAUAUAUCAGUAUGAACCUAAAAUAUUUGAUCAUGAGUUUGUGCAUGUUGUGGUUUUUAUAGCAUUGAUAAUAUGUUGAGUCUAGUAAUGAUGGAAAAACAACUAUGUGAAGACAUGCAGUAAGAUACUUUUUAGAUCCAAGUAGAUCAGCA